GGCUCACCAAGGCGAUGAUACGUAGCCGAACUGAGAGGUUGAUCGGCCACAUUGGGACUGAGACACGGCCCAAACUCCUACGGGAGGCAGCAGUAGGGAAUCUUCCACAAUGGACGCAAGUCUGAUGGAGCAACGCCGCGUGAGUGAAGAAGGCUUUCGGGUCGUAAAACUCUGUUGUUGGAGAAGAAUGGUCGGCAGAGUAACUGUUGUCGGCGUGACGGUAUCCAACCAGAAAGCCACGGCUAACUACGUGCCAGCAGCCGCGGUAAUACGUAGGUGGCAAGCGUUAUCCGGAUUUAUUGGGCGUAAAGCGAGCGCAGGCGGUUUUUUAAGUCUGAUGUGAAAGCCCUCGGCUUAACCGAGGAAGCGCAUCGGAAACUGGGAAACUUGAGUGCAGAAGAGGACAGUGGAACUCCAUGUGUAGCGGUGAAAUGCGUAGAUAUAUGGAAGAACACCAGUGGCGAAGGCGGCUGUCUGGUCUGUAACUGACGCUGAGGCUCGAAAGCAUGGGUAGCGAACAGGAUUAGAUACCCUGGUAGUCCAUGCCGUAAACGAUGAAUGCUAGGUGUUGGAGGGUUUCCGCCCUUCAGUGCCGCAGCUAACGCAUUAAGCAUUCCGCCUGGGGAGUACGACCGCAAGGUUGAAACUCAAAGGAAUUGACGGGGGCCCGCACAAGCGGUGGAGCAUGUGGUUUAAUUCGAAGCAACGCGAAGAACCUUACCAGGUCUUGACAUCUUUUGAUCACCUGAGAGAUCAGGUUUCCCCUUCGGGGGCAAAAUGACAGGUGGUGCAUGGUUGUCGUCAGCUCGUGUCGUGAGAUGUUGGGUUAAGUCCCGCAACGAGCGCAACCCUUAUGACUAGUUGCCAGCAUUUAGUUGGGCACUCUAGUAAGACUGCCGGUGACAAACCGGAGGAAGGUGGGGAUGACGUCAAAUCAUCAUGCCCCUUAUGACCUGGGCUACACACGUGCUACAAUGGAUGGUACAACGAGUUGCGAGACCGCGAGGUCAAGCUAAUCUCUUAAAGCCAUUCUCAGUUCGGACUGUAGGCUGCAACUCGCCUACACGAAGUCGGAAUCGCUAGUAAUCGCGGAUCAGCACGCCGCGGUGAAUACGUUCCCGGGCCUUGUACACACCGCCCGUCACACCAUGAGAGUUUGUAACACCCGAAGCCGGUGGCGUAACCCUUUUAGGGAGCGAGCCGUCUAAGGUGGGACAAAUGAUUAGGGUGAAGUCGUAACAAGGUAGCCGUAGGAGAACCUGCGGCUGGAUCACCUCCUUUCUAAGGAA
rnacentral:rRNA from 2 species